rnacentral:lncRNA from 1 species
CUACCCUGCCAGUUCCCUGUUCAGCCCAUGGCAGGCAAGGCCUAUGUAACCCCCCAGCAGAUUCUGCAAAGCUUCUCCAAGAAAUAGAUUUCUACCUCCCCAGUGCAACAGUACUCAGAGUAACACAGAACUGACCCCCUCCACCCCACCUCACCCCAGGUCAGCAGCCGAGAGUGAGAAUUGGCCCUGUUAGCACCAGAAAAGACUAAUGAGGGACCUAGCUCUGCCAAAUCUAGAGACAUGCUGCCACCCUGGGUUAAGCUGCUAGACUUAACCACAGCACAAACCUAGCCAGGAAUUCACGGCUGAUGGUUAACUUCCAUCUGUGUCGUACAAAGCACCAGCAUGCUCAUUGUCUCAUUCUGGCUCAUCAGCAAGCCUGUCAGGUAAGAGAGGCAUGGUAGUUGUGUGUAUAGCAAUUUUAUUUGUGUUUCUAUUGGGAGCAUACAAUGCCUCCACAAUGAGCACAUGAUAUGGGAGAGAGGUGUGAACCAAACAGACCAGAGAACCAGAUCUAACCCUCAGACCAUGCAGAAUAUACCCACAAUCCAGAAAUAGUGGAAGGAAUUGUUUCCCUUCUCCUUGUAGGACACAUUCCAGGCUUAGUAAUAUGCCUCCAAUGGAGCCAAAGCCACUUGUCCCCAUUUUUACAACUACCUUCUAUUCACUGCCAUUUCUCCCUCUUAGUACAUAUUGCCCACCUACACCAUGGCUCAGGUCAUCACCUACCUACACCAUAGCUCAGGUCAUCACCUGCCUAUACCAUGGCUUAGGUCAUCACCUACUUACACCAUGACUCAGGAAUUUGUUUUGUUAUUGGAAGCCAAAGAAAACAGAGUUUAUCUUUCCUAGGUCUUUCAAAGCCUCACCCCAUCCUGUUUCUUUGAGAUGAUUUAAGUAUAAAACGUACCCCCAGACACACAGGCUCAUAUGUCUGAAGAUUAGAACCCCAGAUAAUGGUUCUGUUUUGGAAAGCUAUGGAUUCCUAAGGAGGUGUGGCCGAGCUGAUGGAUAUCCACUACAGAGGUGGGUCUUUUAGAGCUAUAUGACAUACCCAUUAGUGUCCAAUCUUACUGCUUUCUAGCCUCCAACAUGUGAACAAGUCAUUCCACAAGAUGCUGCUGUCAUGGGGACCAGGCUCAAUUCAGCAGCCAUGCCUUCUCACCAUGACAGACUGAAAUUGUAAGUCAUAUCUCCUAUAAGUUGGGCAUACUUUCCCAGCAUGAAAAGGGUAACUAACAUAUAUCUUCUUUAUCCUUGGAGGUAUUUUAUCUGUCUGCAGUCAACUAAUCUCAUCUGUCUAACUGCUACACUGUAGAAAAUACAAAUGGCUCCUUCUUCAGAGGUAUGGCCACUGGUUGGUUUCCCAUGCUUGACUGGGUGGCCCCACAAUCAUGCACAUUCAGAAGAGUAUCAGUUGAACGCAGUAGGUGUGGGGGUUGAAUAGCUUGGCCCUCAUAGACUCAUGUGUUUGAAUGCUUGGCCCAUGGGAAGUGGCACUAUUAGGAGGUGCAGCCUUGUUGGGGAAGGUGUGACCUUGUUGGAGGAAGUGUGUCACUGUGGAGGUGGGCUUUGAGGUUUCCUCCUAUGCUCAAGCUCCACCCAGUGUGGAAGAGAGCUUACUACUUGUUACCUUGAGCAAGCUCCUCCUGCCCCAUGUCUGCCUGGACACUGCCAUGUUUCCUGCCAUGAUGAUAAUGAACUAAACCCUUAAAACUGUAAGCCAGCUCCAAUUAAAUGUUUUCUUUUAUAAGAUUUAUCUUGGACAUGUUGUCUCUUCACAGCAAUAAAAUCCUAAGACAGUAGGUUACUAAAAAAAUAAGUAAAAAUUAAUUUAAUUCACCCUAUGUACUGAUGAUAGAAAGGGACAGAGGACUCCUCCCUUCCCACAGAUUUUGAUCAUUUACAGUUGAAAAUGUGAAAGGCACAAGUAGGGGCAGAGGGAGAUGUAAAUAAGCGCCACAAUCAGCAAGAUCACAUGACAAUAACACAUGGUUCCCUCUUGUUUUCAAUAUGUUUAAAACAAAGAAGAAGCACACCACACAUCAAUUUUCACCCUACUUUUAGUUUCUCACUUAAUUCUUAUGGUAGCAUACCUGCCCCACCCUGGUGUCAUUAAAUGUCACUUGACAAGUUGGUUGAUGUUGCCUGUCAACUUGAAAAAUUCUAAAACCAUCUAUGAGACAAAUCCUUCCAGUGUGUUUCUGAGGAAGCUUCCAGAUUGGGUUAACAGAAGUAGGAGGACCCACCCUAAAUACAGGUUGCACCAUCCCACAGUCUGAAGUCCCAAAUGAAUGAAAAGAAGAAAGUAAACUGAGUACCAACUUUCUUCUUUCUGCUUUUCAACUCCAGACACAAUAUGUCCAGUUGCCUCAUGUUCCUGUUGCCUCACUUUCCCCAUCCUGACUGUGCCCUCAAACUGUGAGCCAAAAUAAGCCGUUCCUUCCUUAAGUGUCAUUGUCUGGUCUUUGUCAUAGCAAUCAGAAAAGUAAUACAGUAGCUGUGACCAGCUACUGCACACAAAAUGUGCUUAUUGUCCCUUUUUUUUGUUUGUUUGUUUGUUUGUUUUUUGCCAUAUUGUUACCAAACUUGGGAAUCACAUCCUGUGGCCCAAGAAGCCACAUCUGACCGUGGAUGCUUAAUAACAGUUCAGAGAGUCAGAUUAAUAGAAAAAGCAGGAAAAGGGAAUGUUUUCAAUGUAGGGAAGACACCAUAAAAUGCAAAGACUCUCCCAUGUCUGUCUUCCAGAGACCUGACAUGGGAGUAUGGUUUAUAUACAAAGCAAUAAAUAUGCAUAACUAAGCUCCUAGCAAGAUGUCAUUCCUGCCUGGGGCAGAAUCUCUUCUGCAAGGGCAGCUGACUAGCUGCAAAUCUUUCUCCAAGAGAUGUUUCUCCUCUGGAAGGUAUCAGGGCUUCAGCCAUUUCUUCUCAAAGCAAGAGACUCC